UACAGAGGGGGCAAGCGUUAUUCGGAAUUAUUGGGCGUAAAGGGCGCGUAGGCGGCUUGGCAAGUGGAAGGUGAAAUCCCUCGGCUUAACCGAGGAACUGCCUUCCAGACUGCUUUGCUUGAGGCCGGGAGAGGCGAGUGGAAUUCCCAGUGUAGCGGUGAAAUGCGUAGAUAUUGGGAAGAACACCAGUGGCGAAGGCGGUUCUCUGGGACGGUACUGACGCUGAGACGCGAAAGCGUGGGGAGCGAACAGG
rnacentral:rRNA from 1 species